UUAGCGAAAUACGUUAUUUAAAGGUAGUCACUAAAAUGGACAGCAGCGGGUCUGCAACUACCAUGUGCUGUGUUUAUUUUAUUAUUUAUACAUAAAUUUAUAUGAAUAACGAUCGAAAACUCGUUAACGAAACUUAAAACAAGGUUAGGAAAAAGUGUUUGUUGGUAGAAAGCAUGAAGCAUUGCGUGCGGAAUUAGCAAUUAGCAUUUACAAGUUUAAUCAGCGAUUGUGACUUAACAUCGAUAAUUAGGUGAAGCGGAGAUGAAUAGAGUAACAAAACCAUUUUUGUUAGUUUCGGAAUAACAAAAGAAAGAAAAAAAAAAAACUGAGAGGGGUAAAAGGGUAAUAAAGUGAAAAAAAUGUUCUUAGUUUAGCGCGGCAGUUUGUAAAGUGAAAGGCUAAUAAUAAAAAGAGAGGAGGAGUUUGCCAGAUUGCAGAAAAACGCCAUUAACGAUCACAGCUGUGCGAAUCCGAUUAAUCCAGAGAGGGAGAGAGAGUCAUAGAAUAUCUGGAUCUUCUUCUUCUUCUUCAUUCAGAUUCUCUUCUCGGAGCUGCCUUUGGUUAUCUUUAUCUUCUCGGAGGGUAGACGAGGUGUAUGUAUGUGUAAGUAAUUUGUGAAAUUUAAAACAAAAGAUUCGGGUCGUCCUCACUGCACAUGGAGUUAGCGUUGAGGCAGGUCGAACAUUCUACAGAAGCGGCUGUGUCAUCAUCAUCUUAAGGCCUCCUUCCUUAGGUAUGAUGAUGACUACGGAAGCGGAUCAGA